GUAGGGUCCAAGCGUUAAUCGGAAUUACUGGGCGUAAAGCGUGCGCAGGCGGUUGUGCAAGACCGAUGUGAAAUCCCCGGGCUUAACCUGGGAAUUGCAUUGGUGACUGCACGGCUAGAGUGUGUCAGAGGGGGGUAGAAUUCCACGUGUAGCAGUGAAAUGCGUAGAGAUGUGGAGGAAUACCGAUGGCGAAGGCAGCCCCCCUGGGAUAACACUGACGCUCAUGCACGAAAGCGUGGGGGGGAGCAAACAGGAUUAGAUACCCUGGUAGUCCACGCCCUAAACGAUGUCAACUAGUUGUUGGGGAUUCAUUUCCUUAGUAACGUAGCUAACGCGUGAAGUUGACCGCCUGGGGAUACGGUCGCAAGAUUA
rnacentral:rRNA from 1 species